CAGAACACAUCAUUUUGGAAUAUUUUGAAAAACAUCUCAUAUAUUUUCAUACCUUGUCUUGUCAAAAGAAUACAACUCUUAAAAACAAACAUUCUGAACGUGACAAAAGUGUGUAGGCAACAUCAAGCCAACCAAAGAUGUCACUCAUCAGGAUCAAGCCUUUUCUCUUUCAUCUUUAUUCUUGUCAGUUAUUGAUGAAAAGGAAAGAAGACAAGAAAAACACGUCUAAAAAGUCUUCCGCAAGACCCGUUGUCAGACAUAACUGAUAAAAGAUUUUACAGAAACCUCAUCUCUCCCCAGGAAAGUAAAUCAAGCCAAGACCAAAAGAGUUGUUCAAGGGCCAUCCACAUAACUGCCACACCAGGAAUCUCCAAUAUGCAGGGAUAAGAUAACACCUGUUCUGUAUCGGGCCCUGGGACAUCCAGCUAUAUACUGAGAUGAAGAAACUGAGGUUGACUUUCACGUGGCCAUGCUGCUCUGAAGUGACACAGAAAACGAAUCGAGGAUGGGGGAAGAGCUCACAGUGGGAUUAUUAGGAGCAGGUUACUACUGCGGACAGCUGGGGCAAAGAGAGGGACUCUGAGGGAGCAGUUACAGAAGCAGGAGGGGAAGCAGAAGGCAGAGUCUCAAGAAGGAGGGUCAAAUAAAUGUCAAAUGUGCAGAAAGGCCAAAUGCAAUUUUUCCAUGUCUGUCUUCCAUUCAGGGCCGAAGGUGAGCUGCCUCCAUUGGACCCAUUUUCUGGACUCUGGAAGAGGCCUAUUUGUGUUCCAUCCUCUGAGCUGACCCUCCUCUCCAUGACGGCUCUCCUCAAACUUCUCCAGCCCCAAGACUUCAAACACCCCCAAAGCCACCUCUGGGUUCCCGCAUGGGCUCUGAGAGGCCAGGGCCAGGCUGAGAAGAGACUGUGAUGUGAAAAUGAAGCAGAGAUCUGAGAGUGCUGACCUUGAAGACUGGAGCCGUGCAGCUACCAGCAGCCACCAGAAGCAGGAAGACGCAGGAAGAGAUUCCCUCCUCCACUGUGGGGUAAGCCCGGCUCUGCCAACCCUUUGAUUUUGGACCAAGUGAUACUGAUUUUGAACUUCAGACCCCCAGAACCAUAGGAAAAUGAGUUUCUGUGCUUUUAAGCCAGGCAUUGGGACUUUAACUGUCAUCCAAACACCACAGGAGUUGAUGAUAAUUUGUUACAGCAGCCUCAAGAAAAUGAAUAUAUGGAUUUUACCAAUACACAUUGGCAGAGGAAGACACAGACACAGAAAAACUAAGUUGGAUAAUUUGUUUAAAGUCACGCAAUUAACAGAAUCUGGAUGAAAACCUGUUUCUAGAUGACUCGGGACUCCAUGCUCUUAGUCCCCACAAACCAGGGUCUUGAGCAGACUUCACUGUGACAUACAGCUCAGCAUGGCGGAAUAGCUGUGUGCAGAGCGGGAACAGAAUAAGGUGAAGUUGAGCAAGGGAGCGGCUGCCUGAAGCUUUAUUCCAUAUGAGACUGAGCAGAUUUGCAAGGCCUGGGCUCUGUGAGAUAAGCAGCAGACUGGACUCGGUACCUACGUGUUAUCGGUUGGGAUCUCCCCAUGUCUUCGGCUCUGGAGGAUAUGGAUGUGAAUCCCCGCUCCGUGACAGAUUUCUGUAAUCCCGUGUGGCCUCAUGUUGGCUCAGAUCUGGAACUCGUCCCUUUUCUCAGUUUACACACACAUGAACUCACAUGUGGAUGUGUGCAUCUAGCAGAUUUCACUGACGGUUUUGGAUAAAUUAA